GUGGAUUAGUGCCCAGAGUUCCUGGGUUCCUGAGUACAACUUUGAAGGUGGUGGUUUCGGUUUUUGGCACUACCAGAUUUUUCUGAGAAGUAGUGGGUCUGCAGUGGGGUCUACUACAUGAAUAUUAUAAACUGGACAACACUCAUAACCAAACACCUGUUGCAUCGGCAUUUGUGGAUUUCCUGCCAUGGUUUCUUGUUCUGCUAGAUGAAAUGUUGCAUAUGGGUAACUGUGGGUUUAGGAAAGCCAUCCACUUGACAGUGAAGAGAUACUGGAUUGCCUUGUACCACACUGUGGUCAGUUGGUUCCACCAUCCAACGUGGAGGCACUAAAAGAAAACCAGGCAGCAUCAGCAUAUGUGAAUCAAGACAGUUUUCAUAUAAAAAUCCAUCUGUUGACUACAGAUACAAAUUUCACUCUGAAAUGAAAUGCAUUACUGAAGGCAUCUACUUGUAUAUUAAUACAAUAUUUCCUUUGUAUUUGCUGAGUGUCGAAAAUUUGACUCCGUUAAAAGCAGUUGCACUAUUCAUCUAAUAAAUUUUUAAGUUGGUGCAGAUUAUUAAUUUUAAUGUUGCACUGUACUGUUACAGUGAUGUCAAUACCAAACAAUUUUUUACAAUUUACUAAAUUUAACCAAACUAGUACUGAAACCGACCUUUACAAAUCAACUCAAAAUUUCAUUUCAUAUUUAAGAAAAACAUGUUAAUCAUAAUUGACUGUGUGUUAUUGUAUCAUAAUUUUUAUUAUUAUUACUAUGUCAAAACUUACAAUUGUUUUUGAGGCAAUGGCAUCAUUGUCUCUAAUGGGAACAAUUUGAAGCCUGUAUUGUUUCCCUUCUUCAUGCUUUAGUAUGCAACAGAACUACAUGGAACUGCAGCAUGAAAUAAAUAUUACAGAUUACUGUUGUGUUUAUAUCAUAAAGUUCAAUAUAGUGAACUUUUUCUUCCUCUUUAUUCUGUCAUUCAAAGUUAUAGACACUUUCCUAGCAGAUGUCUGCAUAGGCUCAGGCCUCUGUUUUCCAAAUGUUUGUAAUGGGUGUAAACUUUACAUAAGUCAUAUAAAUAUAUAGUGCACCACAUGCUGUGAAUAGUAAAGGGUGUUCAAUCAAGAAGGAAACUUCACAACACCAUUGACUGGGCCCAAUAUUCCUCAUAGAUUGCUGCUGUAACUGUAACGGCGCGCGUUUAUCAGCGCUAAUGACUCAUUCUGC